CCCUUAGAUGUUCUGGGCCGCACGCGCGCUACACUGACCGGUGCAACGAGUUGUUUGUCCUUUGCUCCGAGAGGCAUGGGGAAUCUUUGAACGCCGGUCGUGCUGGGGAUAGAUUCUUGGAAUUAAAAUCUUCAACGAGGAAUUCCUAGUAAACGCAAGUCAUCAACUUGCAUUGAUUACGUCCCUGCCCUUUGUACACACCGCCCGUCGCACCUACCGAUUGAAUGCUCCGGUGAAGCGUUCGGACCGUGGCCUUUGGACGGUUCGCCGUCUGUUGGCUGCGGGAAGUUCGUUAAACCUUAUCAUUUAGAGGAAGGAGAAGUCGUAACA
rnacentral:rRNA from 1 species